rnacentral:rRNA from 1 species
GUGGGGAAUCUUGCGCAAUGGGCGAAAGCCUGACGCAGCCAUGCCGCGUGAAUGAUGAAGGUCUUAGGAUUGUAAAAUUCUUUCACCGGGGACGAUAAUGACGGUACCCGGAGAAGAAGCUCCGGCUAACUUCGUGCCAGCAGCCGCGGUAAUACGAAGGGGGCUAGCGUUGCUCGGAAUUACUGGGCGUAAAGGGCGCGUAGGCGGACAGCUUAGUCAGAGGUGAAAGCCCAGGGCUCAACCUUGGAAUUGCCUUUGAUACUGGCUGUCUUGAGUUUGGGAGAGGUGAGUGGAACUCCGAGUGUAGAGGUGGAAUUCGUAGAUAUUAGGAAGAACACCAGUGGCGAAGGCGGCUCACUGGUCCGGUACUGACGCUGAGGUGCGAAAGCGUGGGGAGCAAACAGGAUUAGAAACCCGUGUAGUCC